rnacentral:ncRNA from 1 species
GGGCGACGGUUGUCCCGGUUUAAGCAUGUAGGCUGAUUGUCCAGGCAAAUCCGGAUAAUCAAGGCUGAGGUGUGAUGACGAGGCACUACGGUGCUGAAGUAACAAAUGCCCUGCUUCCAGGAAAAGCCUCUAAGCAUCAGGUAACAUCAAAUCGUACCCCAAACCGACACAGGUGGUCAGGUAGAGAAUACCAAGGCGCUUGAGAGAACUCGGGUGAAGGAACUAGGCAAAAUGGUGCCGUAACUUCGGGAGAAGGCACGCUGGUGUGUAGGUGAAGUCCCUGCGGAUGGAGCUGAGACCAGUCGAAGAUACCAGCUGGCUGCAACUGUUUAUUAAAAACACAGCACUGUGCAAACACGAAAGUGGACGUAUACGGUGUGACGCCUGCCCGGUGCCGGAAGGUUAAUUGAUGGGGUUAUCCGUAAGGAGAAGCUCUUGAUCGAAGCCCCGGUAAACGGCGGCCGUAACUAUAACGGUCCUAAGGUAGCGAAAUUCCUUGUCGGGUAAGUUCCGACCUGCACGAAUGGCGUAAUGAUGGCCAGGCUGUCUCCACCCGAGACUCAGUGAAAUUGAACUCGCUGUGAAGAUGCAGUGUACCCGCGGCAAGACGGAAAGACCCCGUGAACCUUUACUAUAGCUUGACACUGAACAUUGAGCCUUGAUGUGUAGGAUAGGUGGGAGGCUUUGAAGCGUGGACGCCAGUCUGCGUGGAGCCAACCUUGAAAUACCACCCUUUAAUGUUUGAUGUUCUAACGUUGGCCCCUGACCGGGGUUGCGGACAGUGUCUGGUGGGUAGUUUGACUGGGGCGGUCUCCUCCCAAAGCGUAACGGAGGAGCACGAAGGUUAGCUAAUCCUGGUCGGACAUCAGGAGGUUAGUGCAAUGGCAUAAGCUAGCUUGACUGCGAGCGUGACGGCGCGAGCAGGUGCGAAAGCAGGUCAUAGUGAUCCGGUGGUUCUGAAUGGAAGGGCCAUCGCUCAACGGAUAAAAGGUACUCCGGGGAUAACAGGCUGAUACCGCCCAAGAGUUCAUAUCGACGGCGGUGUUUGGCACCUCGAUGUCGGCUCAUCACAUCCUGGGGCUGAAGUAGGUCCCAAGGGUAUGGCUGUUCGCCAUUUAAAGUGGUACGCGAGCUGGGUUUAGAACGUCGUGAGACAGUUCGGUCCCUAUCUGCCGUGGGCGCUGGAGAAUUGAGGGGGGCUGCUCCUAGUACGAGAGGACCGGAGUGGACGCAUCACUGGUGUUCGGGUUGUCAUGCCAAUGGCACUGCCCGGUAGCUAAAUGCGGAAGAGAUAAGUGCUGAAAGCAUCUAAGCACGAAACUUGCCCCGAGAUGAGUUCUCCCUGAGACUAUAAGUCUCCUGAAGGAACGUUAAAGACGAUGACGUUGAUAGGCCGGGUGUGUAAGCGCAGCGAUGCGUUGAGCUAACCGGUACUAAUGAACCGUGAGGCUUAACCUU